rnacentral:sRNA from 1 species
AACAUUAUAAAUAUUUAAACUUUAUGCUACAGGUGAAAUUCUAUAAUUGGCGGGUUUAGAUCGAUAAUAAUACGGGACGGUAUACUGCUGGUGAAAUACUAGAAUUAACGAUCAAAAUACAAUUAUACAAUCUUAAACAUUAAACAAAACAAACAAUAUUAACAAAACAGAUACAAGUUUCUUU